rnacentral:rRNA from 1 species
AGCGAACGCUGGCGGCAGGCCUAACACAUGCAAGUCGAACGAACCUUUCGGGGUUAGUGGCGGACGGGUGAGUAACACGUGGGAACGUUCCUUUAGGUUCGGAAUAACUCAUGGAAACUUGUGCUAAUACCGAAUGUGCCCUUCGGGGGAAAGAUUAAUCGCCUUUAGAGCGGCCCGCGUCUGUUUAGCUAGUUGGUUGAGGUAAUGGCUCACCAAGGCGACGAUCAGUAGAUGGUCUGAGAGGAUGAUAAGCCACAUUGGGACUGAGACACGGCCCAAAAUCCUACGGGAGGGAGCAGAGGGGAAUAUAGCGAAAUGGGCGAAAGGCUGAAGAAGCCAUGACGGGUGAAUGAUGAAGGUAUUAGGAUAGAAAAAUUCUUUAACCGGGGAAGAUAAUGACGGUACCCGGAGAAGAAGCCCCGGCUAACUUCGUG